AAUACUGAAGUUUAAAGGAAAUUUAUAAAAAACGUAGUGAUAAUAAUUAAAAAUAAUUAUAAAACAUAAAAAAUUUAAAUGAAUUUGCCAGUUAAGUUUUUAACAAGUUAACUGAAAUAAAAUAAUAAUAAUAAUAAUAUUAUUAAUCAUAAUUAAUAUAAAAUUUUGUUAAAAACAAAAGCGAAUUAUUUAAAACAUUUUAAUCAUCAAGAGUAACAACAAUUUAAAAAAUAGGCAUGGUUGUACAACAUUUAACACUCGUCAAGCAGAAAAAUAUGAAGACAAAUACUAAAAACUAAAAAAAACUACAAAAAUAAGAAAACAAGAGGAGGAAACAAAAGUACUCUUUACUCACUUGUAACUGCAUUUUUACAAGAAGUAAAAUCUACAAAUAGAAAAAAAACUAAAACAAAAUAAAGAAGAAAAUAUUAUUACAAAAAUAUACUUCAAUGGUUGUAAACAGUCAAUGACCCUUAGAAGGCAGAACAACAAAAAAGAUGAAAAAAUAAAAGAGUAACAACGGAAAGCAUUUACUUAGCAAAACUUUGGCAAAGCAACAAAAAAAAGCAAAAAUGCUUAAAAAGACGAUGAUAAAAAUUGUUGCAGAAAAUCUCAUAUUAUAGUAAAAGAAAGCACUUCAACAAAAACUACAAAAGCAAAAUGUUUAAUAAUAUUAAAAAGUUUAUGCCAACAAAUUAUAAUAACAAUAAUAAUUUAAUACUUUUAAAAUAAAUAACAGAAAACAAAUAUAUAUUUAAUAACAAAAUAAACCAAUUAAAUUUUAAAUAUAAAGCUUUGGUUAAUUAUUAAAUCAAUCAGCGAAAAAGUGCGAAAGAAAGUGUUAUAAUAUUAAUUAUGUAUAAACAAACUAAAAUUAAGUUUUAAUAAUUAAACACAAGAUUAAAAAAAAUAUAAAUUAUUUAUAAUUAUAAAACAGCAAUAUAAUUCACACAAAAUAAACUUUCAAACGGAAUUAAUAAAUAAUCUAUAACAAAAAACAAACCAGUUAAAGAAGUUAUAUGCCCGUGUGUUUUAAAUUGGUAGUAUUGGUGUGUUGGUUGCUAUAAACGAAACAACCCCACCAUUACCCAAUAAUCAUCUCGCCAUUGCCAUCACAAUCAUCGUCAUAGCUCUCUGUCUGUCCUUUUCUGUAUUCAACAGCAACUUUCAUCAUUGUAGUCAUCAUUAAAUACAAGACACAUUUAAAUUUUAAUGCACUUGGUUGUGGCAAUAAUGAAUUUCCUACAAACCCCAAAAGCAACAACUGCUGCUGCUGUCACUUGCUGGCUGGCUUACGGACUCUUUGGAUUAUUAAUAACGCUGCCAGGUAAUUAUAGAAUGUCUUGAAAUGAACCCAAACAAAUUUUGAAAGUAUACUUUGUGGUAAGCCUUAUAUUAAGCUAUUUACAUAAAGU